UACGUAGGGGGCAAGCGUUGUCCGGAUUUAUUGGGCGUAAAGAGCGUGUAGGCGGCCAGGUAGGUCCGUUGUGAAAACUCGAGGCUCAACCUCGAGACGUCGGCGGAAACCCUCUGGCUAGAGUCCGGAAAAGGAGAGUGGAAUUCCUGGUGUAGCGGUGAAAUGCGCAGAUAUCAGGAAGAACACCCGUGGCGAAGGCAGCUCUCUGGAACGGUACUGACGCUGAGACGCGAAAGCGUGAGGAGCAAACAGG
rnacentral:rRNA from 1 species